GGAGCGAAGCGACGUCAAAGCGUUCAUUAAAGUCGAGUUGGCUUAGGGAUACGUUCGUUGGGUAGGGGAGCGUUCUGUAAGCCUGUGAAGGUGGCCUGUGAGGGUUGCUGGAGGUAUCAGAAGUGCGAAUGCUGACAUAAGUAACGAUAAAGCGGGUGAAAAGCCCGCUCGCCGGAAGACCAAGGGUUCCUGUCCAACGUUAAUCGGGGCAGGGUGAGUCGACCCCUAAGGCGAGGCCGAAAGGCGUAGUCGAUGGGAAACGGGUUAAUAUUCCCGUACUUGGUGUUACUGCGAAGGGGGGACGGAGAAGGCUAUGUUGGCCGGGCGACGGUUGUCCCGGUUUAAGCGUGUAGGUGUGUGUUCCAGGUAAAUCCGGUUCACUUUAACACUGAGGCGUGACGACGAGGCACUACGGUGCUGAAGCAACAAAUGCCCUGCUUCCAGGAAAAGCCUCUAAGCAUCAGGUAACAUCAAAUCGUACCCCAAACCGACACAGGUGGUCAGGUAGAGAAUACCAAGGCGCUUGAGAGAACUCGGGUGAAGGAACUAGGCAAAAUGGUGCCGUAA
rnacentral:rRNA from 1 species